rnacentral:tRNA from 1 species
GUACCAGUAGUGCAAUGGAAAGCGCGUUGGACUUCUAAUCCAAAGAUCGUGGGUUCGAAUCCCACUUGGGAUG